AGAGGUGGCAAGCGUUGUUCGGAAUUAUUGGGCGUAAAGAGCACGUAGGUGGAUUUGUUAGUCAGAUGUGAAAGCCUUCUGUUCAACGGAAGAAUUGCAUCUGAAACUACAAACCUUGAGUAUAGGAGGGGAGAGUGGAACUUCUGGUGGAGCGGUGAAAUGCGUAGAUAUCAGAAGGAACGCCGGCGGCGAAAGCGACUCUCUGGCCUAUAACUGACACUGAGUGUGCGAAAGCUAGGGGGGAGCAAACGGGAUUAGAUACCCCGGUAGUCCUAGCCGUAAACGAUGGGCACUAAGUAGGGGGAACUAUCGAUGUUCUCUCUGCCGUAGCUAACGCAUUAAGUGCCCCCCGCCUGGGAGUACGGCCGCAAGGCUA
rnacentral:rRNA from 1 species